rnacentral:rRNA from 1 species
GACGGGGGGGGCAAGGUGUUCUUCGGAAUGACUGGGCGUAAAGGGUGCGUAGGCGGUCGGGUAAGUCUGACGUGAAAUCUUCAAGCUCAACUUGGAAACUGCGUCCGAUACUAUUCGGCUAGAGGAAUGGAGGGGAGACUGGAAUACUUGGUGUAGCAGUUGAAAUGCGUAGAUAUCAAGUGGAACACCAGUGGCGAAGGCGAGUCUCUGGACAUUUCCUGACGCUGAGGCACGAAAGCCAGGGGAGCAAACGGG